CCUACGGGCGGCUGCAGUAAGGAAUAUUGGUCAAUGGACGCAAGUCUGAACCAGCCAUGCCGCGUGGAGGAUGAAGGUCCUCUGGAUUGUAAACUUCUUUUAUUUGGGAAGAAACUCCCGAUUUCCAUCGGGAUUGACGGUACCGGAUGAAUAAGCACCGGCUAACUCCGUGCCAGCAGCCGCGGCAAUACGGAGGGUGCCGGAUUUAUCCGGUUUCACUGGGUUGAAGGGGUGCAGGUAAGGCAGUGUAGAAAUCUCCGGGCUUAACCCGGAAACUGCCAUUGAUACUAUUUGUCUUGAAUACUCUGGAGGUGAGCGGAAUAUGUCAUGUAGCGGUGAAAUGCUUAGAUAUGACAUAGAACACCCAUUGCGAAGGCAGCUCACUACGGAAAUAUUGACGCUGAGGCACGAAAGCGUGGGGAUCAAACAGGAUUAGAUACCCCGGUAGUC
rnacentral:rRNA from 1 species